CUGUAACACGAAUACUAAAUAAGCCCUCAUAAGUAAAUGUGCACUGAGACAAGGCUGUAAAAACUAGUUUAUGAACAAGUGAAGUGACGGAUAGUGAUCAAUUUCAUAAAUCUAUAUUUGAUACAAAAUCAUUCUUCCGCUUGAAACCAUCCAUAUGAAACGCACAAAACAACAUCCUAUUCCUACACAGGAAAUUCACAUGUACUUUAAUCUAAGCUGGAGUACCACGAGUGAGAAUAAAUAGUCCGGAUAUGAAAUAUCAUAAUGUACACAGCCUCCUUAUGGUUUAAAGAGAAGAACCCACAGUGCUGUAAAGAAAAGUAAUUCAGUGUACUAUAUGGCGUCACAAUGAAACAGUGUUUCAUGACACAAGUCCAGCGUUGUAUCGCUGGGAAAAUGUCAUACAUGUAUUUUACUGUCAUCACAUGCUAUAAAUCUGUUUGUAAAAUCGUUAUUUUGUUAUUUUAUGUUUAUUUUGUAUAAGUCUUCACAUUUUAAUCUAUUAUGUAUGGCAGUUUGAUACUUUACUGAAACCUUCGAUUCGUCCCUGAUUAGCCAUAGAGAUAUAGAAGAAGAUAGUCAAAUGCGUGAUUACAACGGUAUGGUCUAAACGCAAGAUGAGGAUUGUUUGCUGGUAUUUUUGUGAUAAACCAGCAAAAAAUCAUGUUUAUUAUAUUUUUAACAGUGAAGUACUGGAAUUUAUCCGUUGAAUAAAAGUUGUUAUUUUUACGGUUAUUUUUUUUCAUACUGUGAAAAUAAGAAGUGUUAUUUUCACAUUGUGAAAAUGAUAACCGGGACUAUUUGCCGACAAUAUUUAUCCGUAAUACAAAAGAUCAUUCAUAUUACGUUAUAUGUAUAAUUGAUUUUUAAUGUUUUUUUUUAUUUGAAUGCCCAAAAAUAAUCACUUGGGGGAAUUGCUUGAUCCGCCUACCAAAGCAGAAAAUGUGUCAUGCCUUGCAAAAUGCACCAGAUGAUGUCACGUCAUAUCGAUUGACAUGGAUCUGUGACGCUUAGUUUACUGUGUUGGAUUUCAUUUGGCGACAAUGCUGCAUGCUAUGCUAUAGACGAUACAAAAUUAGGAUAAUGGCAACACGGACCUGAAGAAAUACCAAAGAUCUGACCAGGUGCCAAGGAAAAGUCAGCAUUUACUGAUGACCGUAAUGCACGAAUGUGUCCGACAUCUUGCUCAGGCAAAUGGAGCAAUCCAAAGUCAAAAUCAAUAUGUGAGGAACAGCCUCGAAUUGGUAUGAAACACGUCAGACAAUAUUCGACGCAGUGAUAUCUUGUAAUUGAAAAUUAGAUCAUUAUAAUGACCAAACAACUUGCGGAAUGUUGAUUUUAAACGUGACCGUCGAAACCCCUGUCACAUGAAAAAUGUAUGUAAGUAGUAUGCCUCGAUUUAAACAUUGGUUAUAGAUAGAACAUGCGCUCGCGUAUCGAAUGUGUAUUCUAGCAUAUUUCUAGUUUAUUUAAUGCCUGAAAUUGACUUUACUAAUAUUAAUGCACAUAUAUACUCCUUUGUCGAAGUAUAUUCAGUUAAUCCUUUAAAAAAAAUCAAAGCAAUGGAUGCUGCAAAUGUAACGAGAAUGACUUAGGAUAAACAGAGAUGGAUUGUGUACAACAAAUAAAGCAUUUCUUUAUGACGUAUA